CGCCAGCCAACUGUUGGAAUUAGAACCAGCCCAGAUUUCCUUACCGGAGGCAGCAGUGGGGGAAUUUGGACAAUGGGCGCAAGCUGAUCCAAGCCAAUUGCCGCGUGCAGACGAAGCCUUCCGGGUUGUAAACUGCUUUUUGUACGGAGCGAAAAAGCUCUCUCUAAUACAGGGAGUUCAUGACGGUACCGUAAGAUAAGCACGGCUAACUACGUGCCAGCAGCCGCGGUAAUACGUAGGGUGCAAGCGUAAUCGGAAUUACUGGGCGUAAAGCGUGCGCAGGCGGUUAUGUAAGACAGAGGUGAAAUCCCCGGGCUCAACCUGGGAACUGCCUUUGUGACUGCAUAGCUAGAGUACGGCAGAGGGGGAUGGAAUUCCGCGUGUAGCAGUGAAAUGCGUAGAUAUGCGGAGGAACACCGAUGGCGAAGGCAAUCCCCUGGGCCUGUACUGACGCUCAUGCACGAAAGCGUGGGGAGCAAACAGGAUUAGAUACCCUGGUAGUCCACGCCGUAAACGAUGUCGACUUGGAGGUUGUUCCCUUGAGGAGUGGCUUCCGGAGCUAACGCGUUAAGUCGACCGCCUGGGGAGUACGGCCGCAAGGUUAAAACUCAAAUGAAUUGACGGGGGCCCGCACAAGCGGUGGAGCAUGUGGUUUAAUUCGAUGCAACGCGAAGAACCUUACCUACUC
rnacentral:rRNA from 1 species